CUACGUGCCAGCAGCCGCGGUAAUACGGGAGGUCCAGGCGUUAUCCGGAUUUAUUGGGUUUAAAGGGAGCGUAGGCUGGAGAUUAAGUGUGUUGUGAAAUGUAGACGCUCAACGUCUGAAUUGCAGCGCAUACUGGUUUCCUUGAGUACGCACAACGUUGGCGGAAUUCGUCGUGUAGCGGUGAAAUGCUUAGAUAUGACGAAGAACUCCGAUUGCGAAGGCAGCUGACGGGAGCGCAACUGACGCUUAAGCUCGAAGGUGCGGGUAUCAAACAGGAUUAGAUACCCUGGUAGUCCGCACAGUAAACGAUGGAUGCCCGCUGUUGGUACCUGGUAUCAGCGGCUAAGCGAAAGCAUUAAGCAUCCCACCUGGGGAGUACGCCGGCAACGGUGAAACUCAAAGGAAUUGACGGGGGCCCGCACAAGCGGAGGAACAUGUGGUUUAAUUCGAUGAUACGCGAGGAACCUUACCCGGGCUUGAACUAACGGUGACGAAUCUAGAGAUAG
rnacentral:rRNA from 1 species